GACGAACGCUGGCGGCGUGCUUAACACAUGCAAGUCGAACGGAAAGGCCCUGCUUUUGUGGGGUGCUCGAGUGGCGAACGGGUGAGUAACACGUGAGUAACCUGCCCUUGACUUUGGGAUAACUUCAGGAAACUGGGGCUAAUACCGGAUAGGAGCUCCUGCUGCAUGGUGGGGGUUGGAAAGUUUCGGCGGUUGGGGAUGGACUCGCGGCUUAUCAGCUUGUUGGUGGGGUAGGGGCUUACCAAGGCUUUGACGGGUAGCCGGCCUGAGAGGGUGACCGGCCACAUGGGGACUGAGAUACGGCCCAGACUCCUACGGGAGGCAGCAGUGGGGAAUAUUGCACAAUGGGCGGAAGCCUGAUGCAGCAACGCCGCGUGCGGGAUGACGGCCUUCGGGUUGUAAACCGCUUUCGCCCGUGACGAAGCGUGAGUGACGGUAAUGGGGAAAGAAGCACCGGCUAACUACGU
rnacentral:rRNA from 1 species